GACGUAGGGCGCGAGCGUUGUCCGGAUUUAUUGGGCGUAAAGAGCUCGUAGGCGGCUUGUCGCGUCGUCCGUGAAAACUUGGGGCUCAACCCCAAGCUUGCGGUCGAUACGGGCAGGCUAGAGUUCGGCAGAGGGGAAGCGGAAUUUCGGGUGUAGCGGUGAAAUGCGUAGAUAUCCGAAGGAACAUCAGUGGCGAAAGCGGCUCCUGGACCAGAACUGACGAUCAGGCACGAAAGCGUGGGGAGCAAACAGGG
rnacentral:rRNA from 1 species